rnacentral:rRNA from 1 species
GGACGGGUGAGUAACACGUGGAUAACCUACCUAUAAGACUGGGAUAACUUCGGGAAACCGGAGCUAAUACCGGAUAAUAUUUUGAACCGCAUGGUUCAAAAGUGAAAGACGGUCUUGCUGUCACUUAUAGAUGAUCCGCGCUGCAUUAGCUAGUUGGUAAGGUAACGGCUUACCAAGGCAACGAUGCAUAGCCGACCUGAGAGGGUGAUCGGCCACACUGGAACUGAGACACGGUCCAG